CCUACGGGAGGCAGCAGUGGGGAAUAUUGCGCAAUGGGGGAAAGCCUGAUGCAGCGACGCCGCGUGAGUGAAGAAGUAAUUCGGUAUGUAAAGCUCUGUCAGCAGGGAAGAACGUGACGUUACCUAAGUAGCAAGCCACUGCUAACUACGUGCCAGCAGCCGCGGUAUUACGUAGGGGGCACGCGUUAUCCGGAUUUGCUGGGGGUAAAGGGAGCGUAGACGGCAGUGCAAGUCUGGAGUGAAAGCCGCGGGCUCAACCCGCGGACUGCUCUGGAAACUGUAAGGCUGGAGUGCAGGAGAGGUAAGUGGAAUUCCAAGUGUAGCGGUGAAAUGCGUAGAUAUUAGGAGGAACACCAGUGGCGAAGGCGACUUACUGGAAUGUAACUGACGUUGAGGAUCGAAAGCGUGGGGAGCAAACAGGAUUAGAUACCCCUGUAGUC
rnacentral:rRNA from 1 species